rnacentral:rRNA from 1 species
UGCAUAUCAAAUAAGCGGAGGAAAAGAAACUAACAAGGAUUYCCCUAGUAACUGCGAGUGAAGCGGGAUGAGCUCAAAUUUAAAAUCUAGUGGCUUUCAGUCGCUCGAGUUGUAAUCUGGAGAAGUGUUUUCCGCGUCGGACCGUGUACAAGUCUCUUGGAAUAGAGCUUCAUAGAGGGUGAGAGUCCCGUCCAUGACACGGAUUACCGGUGCUUUUGUGAUACACUCUCAAAGAGUCGAGUUGUUUGGGAAUGCAGCUCAAAAUGGGUGGUAAAUUCCAUCUAAAGCUAAAUAUUGGCGAGAGACCGAUAGCGAACAAGUACCGUGAGGGAAAGAUGAAAAGCACUUUGGAAAGAGAGUUAAACAGUACGUGAAAUUGUUGAAAGGGAAACGCUUGAAGUCAGUCGCGUCGUCCGGGACUCAGCCUUGCUCUUUUGCUUGGUGUACUUCCUGGUUUGACGGGUCAACAUCGAUUUUGGAUGGCGGAUAAAGGCGGGGGGAAUGUGGCACCUUUCGGGGUGUGUUAUAGCCCUUCGUUCGUAUACGCUGACUGGGAUCGAGGACUGCAGCACGCCUUUAUGGCCGGGGGUUCGCCCCACGCAACGUGCUUAGGAUGUUGGCAUAAUGGCUUUAAGCGACCCGUCUUGAAACACGGACCA